rnacentral:misc_RNA from 1 species
GUGAACUAGAACGUAGGGAUCCUAGCGAGCCAACCUCCCCCCGUGUUUACUGUACCUUAGUUGCUUCGGCGGGCCCGCCAUUCAUGGCCGCCGGGGGCUCUCAGCCCCGGGCCCGCGCCCGCCGGAGACACCACGAACUCUGUCUGAUCUAGUGAAGUCUGAGUUGAUUGUAUCGCAAUCAGUUAAAACUUUCAACAAUGGAUCUCUUGGUUCCGGCAUCGAUGAAGAACGCAGCGAAAUGCGAUAACUAGUGUGAAUUGCAGAAUUCCGUGAAUCAUCGAGUCUUUGAACGCACAUUGCGCCCCCUGGUAUUCCGGGGGGCAUGCCUGUCCGAGCGUCAUUGCUGCCCAUCAAGCACGGCUUGUGUGUUGGGUCGUCGUCCCCUCUCCGGGGGGGACGGGCCCCAAAGGCAGCGGCGGCACCGCGUCCGAUCCUCGAGCGUAUGGGGCUUUGUCACCCGCUCUGUAGGCCCGGCCGGCGCUUGCCGAACGCAAAUCAAUCUUUUUCCAGGUUGACCUCGGAUCAGGUAGGGAUACCCGCUGAACUUAAGCAUAUAAAGGGGGGGGGAAAAAAAAACCGGGAGGCUAUCCCCCGAUCC